GAGUUUGAUCAUGGCUCAGGAUGAACGCUGACGGAAUGCUUAACACAUGCAAGUCAUCCAGAAAUUAUCUUCGGAUAAGAUUAUGGGGGCGGACGGGUGAGUAACGCGUGAGAAACCUGCCCUAUGGUUUGGGAUAACUAACCGAAAGGUUAGCUAAGACCGGAUAAUAUAUAUAGUAGGCAUCUAUUAUAUAUCAAGAUAGGAGGGUCUCGCGUUCUAUUAGCUAGUUGGUAGUGUAACGGACUACCAAGGCGACGAUAGAUAGCCGGCCUGAGAGGGUGUACGGCCACAAGGGAACUGAGACACGGUCCUUACUCCUACGGGAGGCAGCAGUGAGGAAUUUUGCGCAAUGGGCGAAAGCCUGACGCAGCAACGCCGCGUGAGUGAUGAAGGAUUUCGGUUCGUAAAGCUCUGUCAAGUGGGAAGAAGUUAUCAUGUAUAAAUAGUGCAUGGUAUUGACGGUACCACUGAAGGAAGCACCGGCUAACUCCGUGCCAGCAGCCGCGGUAA
rnacentral:rRNA from 1 species